CAAGGGCAUACCGGAGGCCUGAAAGAAGCGCGGAGUAAACGUGCGGGCCGAUGUACAAGAACCGGAUCUGAGGCAUACGGUGCCGGGCGAGCGGGCAAAUGACCGCGAAGCCCCUUUCCAUCAAAGGCACUGGUUGUAAAUUCGGCGGCUGCGUGCGGAAGGUGGUCGAGC
rnacentral:ncRNA from 1 species